rnacentral:rRNA from 1 species
GACGAACGCUGGCGGCGUGCUUAACACAUGCAAGUCGAACGGAAAGGCCCUGCUUUUGUGGGGUGCUCGAGUGGCGAACGGGUGAGUAACACGUGAGUAACCUGCCCUUGACUUUGGGAUAACUUCAGGAAACUGGGGCUAAUACCGGAUAGGAGCUCCUGCUGCAUGGUGGGGGUUGGAAAGUUUCGGCGGUUGGGGAUGGACUCGCGGCUUAUCAGCUUGUUGGUGGGGUAGUGGCUUACCAAGGCUUUGACGGGUAGCCGGCCUGAGAGGGUGACCGGCCACAUGGGGACUGAGAUACGGCCCAGACGCCUACGGGAGGCAGCAGUGGGGAAUAUUGCACAAUGGGCGGAAGCCUGAUGCAGCAACGCCGCGUGCGGGAUGACGGCCUUCGGGUUGUAAACCGCUUUCGCCGGUGACGAAGCGUGAGUGACGGUAAUGGGUAAAGAAGCACCGGCUAACUACGUG